rnacentral:rRNA from 1 species
AAAUUGAAGAGUUUGAUCAUGGCUCAGAUUGAACGCUGGCGGCAGGCCUAACACAUGCAAGUCGAACGGUAACAGAAAGCAGCUUGCUGCUUUGCUGACGAGUGGCGGACGGGUGAGUAAUGUCUGGGAAACUGCCUGAUGGAGGGGGAUAACUACUGGAAACGGUAGCUAAUACCGCAUAACGUCGCAAGACCAAAGAGGGGGACCUUCGGGCCUCUUGCCAUCGGAUGUGCCCAGAUGGGAUUAGCUUGUUGGUGGGGUAACGGCUCACCAAGGCGACGAUCCCUAGCUGGUCUGAGAGGAUGACCAGCCACACUGGAACUGAGACACGGUACAGACUCCUACGGGAGGCAGCAGUGGGGAAUAUUGCACA